rnacentral:rRNA from 1 species
AUGUCUGAGAGCCAGGAAACUGAUAGGAACAUUGAAAUCUGGAAGAUUAAAAAGCUAAUCAAGGCACUGGAGUCUGCUAGAGGCAAUGGCACAAGCAUGAUCUCUCUUAUUAUGCCUCCACGUGAUCAGGUUUCUCGAGUGGCGAAGAUGUUAGGCGACGAGUAUGGUACUGCUUCAAACAUCAAGAGUAGAGUCAAUCGUCAAUCAGUUUUGGGUGCCAUCACCUCAGCUCAGCAGAGGCUGAAGCUUUACAACAGAGUUCCUCCCAAUGGUUUGGUUCUCUACACUGGAACCAUUGUUACUGAUGAUGGAAAGGAAAAGAAAGUUACUAUUGAUUUUGAGCCAUUCAAGCCUAUAAAUGUCUCACUUUACCUUUGUGAUAACAAGUUCCACACUGAGGCUUUAAAUGAGCUGUUGGAAUCUGAUGACAAGUUCGGCUUCAUUGUUAUGGAUGGUAAUGGUACACUUUUUGGCACACUAAGUGGAAAUACACGUGAAGUGCUUCACAAAUUUACUGUUGAUCUCCCAAAGAAGCAUGGUAGAGGAGGGCAGUCAGCUCUACGUUUUGCUCGUCUUCGGAUGGAAAAACGUCAUAACUAUGUCCGAAAAACUGCUGAGCUUGCUACUCAGUUUUUUAUCAAUCCAGCUACAAGUCAGCCUAAUGUUUCUGGACUGAUUCUUGCUGGUUCUGCUGAUUUCAAGACAGAGCUGAGCCAAUCUGAUAUGUUUGACCAGAGACUUCAAGCCAAGAUACUUAAUGUGGUUGAUGUUUCUUAUGGCGGCGAGAAUGGGUUCAACCAAGCUAUUGAGUUGUCAGCUGAGAUUCUAGCAAAUGUGAAGUUCAUACAGGAGAAGAAGUUAAUUGGCAAGUACUUUGAAGAGAUCAGUCAAGAUACUGGGAAGUAUGUCUUUGGUGUUGAUGACACUCUAAAGGCUCUUGAAAUGGGUGCUGUUGAGACUCUGAUAGUGUGGGAGAAUCUUGACAUCAACAGAUAUUCGCUGAAGCACAGUGUCUCUGGGGAAAUUAUUGUCAAACAUUUGAACAAGGAGCAGGAAGCGGAUCAGAGCAAUUUCCGCGAUAGUGAGACCAAUGCCGAGUUGGAAGUUCAGGAAAAAAUAUCUCUGUUGGAGUGGUUUGCUAAUGAAUACAAGAAGUUCGGCUGUGCGCUUGAGUUUGUCACUAACAAGUCACAAGAGGGAUCGCAGUUCUGCAGAGGAUUCGGUGGCAUUGGUGGUCUGCUGCGCUAUCAGCUAGAUAUGCGGUCUUUUGACGAGGUUUCAGACGAUGAAGGUUUGUAUGAAGACUCUGAUUAG